rnacentral:rRNA from 1 species
UACAGAGGGUGCAAGCGUUAAUCGGAAUUACUGGGCGUAAAGUGUGCGCAGGUGGCUUCGCAAGUCGAGUGUGAAAUCCCCGGGCUUAACCUGGGAAUUGCGCUCGAAACUACGGAGCUGGAGUGUGGCAGAGGGAGGUGGAAUUCCACGUGUAGCGGUGAAAUGCGUAGAGAUGUGGAGGAACACCAAUGGCGAAGGCAGCCUCCUGGGCCAACACUGACACUCAUGCACGAAAGCGUGGGGAGCAAACAGG